rnacentral:rRNA from 1 species
AUUGAACGCUGGCGGAAUGCUUUACACAUGCAAGUCGAACGGCAGCACGGGGGCAACCCUGGUGGCGAGUGGCGAACGGGUGAGUAAUACAUCGGAACGUGCCCAGUCGUGGGGGAUAACUACGCGAAAGCGUAGCUAAUACCGCAUACGAUCUACGGAUGAAAGCGGGGGAUCGCAAGACCUCGCGCGAUUGGAGCGGCCGAUGGCAGAUUAGGUAGUUGGUGGGGAAAGCUCACCAAGCCGUCGAUCUGUAGCUGGUCUGAGAGGACGACCAGCCACACUGGGACUGAGACACGGCCCAGACUCC